rnacentral:lncRNA from 1 species
AAUAUUAACAAGUCGGGUCAGACCCGAAACCCGUUAGAAAACCCUAAGUAUAAAACAGAAAAAUACCAAUACCUAUCUAUCCUUCUAUCCUUGUUAGUAUUUUGACUAUUUUCUUCUUGGCCGCCAUGAACAAACCAGUUAUAAAUUUAGAAUUUCUUCAUAUCGUUUUUUUUUGUUGGUUUUAUGGAUUUGAGCUUGAAUGAAGCUGAAUUGGUAGUUAUAGUUGGGAAUUAGGUUAGAAAGGUUUGUUCUUGGUGUGGAUAUUUACGGUCCAAUCAACUUCCCAAAUCCGAACCUGUUUCCUCAAAUUCCUCAAUGUUUCUUCACCCAAUCCGUUUGUUUGUUGUGUGGGUGGAGAUGUUAUUGUUGGAAUUCGGAAUUUGUCUUCAAAGUUAUGCUUGUGUGCUAUGGUUCAGGUUCCCACCUUUGUUUCUUCAUCAUGAGUAUUGGUGGUGUUGAUUGGAGUAAUGUUUGCUGUAUCUCUUAGUUCUAAGUUCUAAUUAAUUUCUAAUCAUAUCUUAAGUUUGACAGUUUGAUUCAUUUGAUCUGCAACAUCACUCAUUCUAAGUCGAUUUCUCUUGUUGUGAAGAUCUCUUGUUCGAUUAUUUGUUCAGAUCAGAAAGAUUUUGGGUUUAUGGUUAUUGUUUCUUUUUUGGAAGAUGGAAUCAACUGAAUUCCAAGAAAAACAUUUAUCUUUGUAUCAAUUUCAUUUGAUUAUUUUUGUUUCUCUUUAAUUGAGUAGAAACAGAGAAAGAAACACUAAAAAAAAUUGCUGAAAUCUGCUUUGUUUUGAUUAAAACUAGUAGUACUUUUGCAUUGUUUUGGUUUCAAAUUCUAUUCUGUUCAGUUUGUUUACAGAUAAAGUUCAUCUUUGUAAUUUGUUCCUCUGCUAUCUUCAAUCACAAGGACUUAGCCAACCACGGUAGUUCAGGACUGUCUUUCAGGGCAACAUCGUCACUGCAUUUAAAAUAAUGAAAAGCAAAGAUUACUGCUGAAAAUCAUAUUUACUUAGCAGGUUUAAACAGGCCCAUUACAAUGUGUUU